UACGUAGGAGGCAAGCGUUGUCCGGAAUUACUGGGCGUAAAGCGCGUGUAGGUGGUGGGACAAGUCUGCUGUGAAAGCGCCUGGCUUAACCGGGCGAGGUCGGCGGAAACUGUCCGACUAGAGGACGGUAGAGGGGGGUGGAAUUCCCGGUGUAGUGGUGAAAUGCGUAGAGAUCGGGAGGAACACCUGUGGCGAAGGCGGCCCCCUGGGCCGGCCCUGACACUGAGACGCGAGAGCGUGGGGAGCAAACCGG
rnacentral:rRNA from 1 species